AGAGUUUGAUCCUGGCUCAGGACGAACGUUGGCGGCGUGCUUAACACAUGCAAGUCGAGCGGGGCUUAGUGAAAAGUUUACUUUUUACUUAGUCUAGCGGCGGACGGGUGAGUAACGCGUGGAUAAUCUGCCUGUAAGACAGGGAUAACGCCGGGAAACCGGUGCUAAUACCGGAUAACCUCUUUGGACCGCAUGGUCUGAAGAGAAAAGGUGGCCUCUUUACAAACUUACAGAUGAAUCCGCGUCCCAUUAGCCAGUUGGUGGGGUAAUGGCCUACCAAAGCGACGAUGGGUAGCCGGCCUGAGAGGGUGACCGGCCACACUGGAACUGAGACACGGUCCAGACUCCUACGGGAGGCAGCAGUGAGGAAUAUUGCGCAAUGGGGGCAACCCUGACGCAGCGACGCCGCGUGGAUGAUGAAGGCCUUCGGGUCGUAAAAUCCUGUCAGAUGGAAAGAAAGAAGUGACGGUACCUUAGGAGGAAGCCCCGGCUAACUACGUGCCAGCAGCCGCGGUAAUACGUAGGGGGCAAGCGUUAUCCGGAAUCACUGGGCGUAAAGGGUGCGUAGGCGGCUGAUCAAGCCAGGGGUGAAAGGCAAUAGCUUAACUAUUGUGAGCCUUUGGAACUGGUCAGCUUGAGUGCAGGAGAGGAAAGCGGAAUUCCUAGUGUAGCGGUGAAAUCCGUAGAUAUUCGAAGGAACACCGGUGGCGAAGGCGGCUAUCUGGACCGAUACUGACGCUGAGACGCGAAAGCGUGGGGAGCAAACAGGAUUAGAUACCCUGGUAGUCCACGCCGUAAACGAUGGGUACUAGGUGUUGCGGGUAUUGAAAUUCAGUGCUGCAGUUAACGCAAUAAGUAAUCCGCCUGGGGAGUAUGCACGCAAGUGUGAAACUCAAAGGAAUUGACGGGGGCCCGCACAAGCGGUGGAGUAUGUGGUUUAAUUCGAAGCAACGCGAAGAACCUUACCAGGUCUUGACAUCCCUCUGACCGGUCCGUAACGGGACCUUUCCUUCGGGACAGAGGAGACAGGUGGUGCAUGGUUGUCGUCAGCUCGUGUCGUGAGAUGUUGGGUUAAGUCCCGCAACGAGCGCAACCCUUAUCUUUAGUUGCCAGCAGGUUAAGCUGGGCACUCUAAAGAGACUGCCGGUGAUAAACCGGAGGAAGGUGGGGAUGACGUCAAAUCAUCAUGCCCCUUAUGAUCUGGGCUACACACGUGCUACAAUGGCCGGUACAACGAGAAGCGAAACCGCGAGGUGAAGCAAAUCUUUUAAAGCCGGUCCCAGUUCGGAUUGCAGGCUGAAACUCGCCUGCAUGAAGUUGGAGUUGCUAGUAAUCGCGGAUCAGCAUGCCGUGGUGAAUGCGUUCCCGGGUCUUGUACACACCGCCCGUCACACCAUGGAAGUUGGGGGGACCUGAAAUCG
rnacentral:rRNA from 1 species